rnacentral:rRNA from 1 species
CACCAGGCGCGAAAACCUUACAAUGCCGGCAACGGCGAUAAGGGAACCUCGAGUGCCAGGUUACAAAUCUGGCUGUCGUGAUGCCUAAAAAGCAUUGCAUAGCAAGGGCCGGGCAAGACCGGUGCCAGCCGCCGCGGUAACACCGGCGGCUCGAGUGGUAACCGUUAUUAUUGGGUCUAAAGGGUCUGUAGCCGGCCGGGUAAGUCUCUUGGGAAAUCUGGCAGCUUAACUGUCAGGCUUUCAGGAGAUACUGCCUGGCUCGAGGCCGGGAGAGGUGAGAGGUACUUCAGGGGUAGGGGUGAAAUCUUGUAAUCCUUGAAGGACCACCAGUGGCGAAGGCGUCUCACCAGAACGGACCUGACGGCAAGGGACGAAAGCUAGGGGCACGAACCGGAUUAGAUACCCGGGUAGUCCUAGCCGUAAACGAUACUCGCUAGGUGUCGGCCACGGUGCGACCGUGGUCGGUGCCGUAGGGAAGCCGUGAAGCGAGCCACCUGGGAAGUACGGCCGCAAGGCUGAAACUUAAAGGAAUUGGCGGGGGAGCACAAGGGCGAAUUCGCG